GCGGCCCUGCGGGUUGGAUAACACGGGGUCACUCGCGAGCCGCGGCAGCCCUCCGAGGAAGAGUGCGGCGUCCCCGUCCGACGGGAGCAGGAUCGCGGGCUGGGGAUGAGCCCCAAGGGAGAGGAGGGCCGGCCGGGCAGCGCUGGAGCGAGGAGCUCAGCGCGGAGGCCAGGGGGCCGCGGAGGCUAGGACCUGGCGGGGCCUGGCGCCCAGCCUCGAAGGCUGGGGGCCGCGGAAAGCGGCGGAUGGAGGACGAUUGACGGGGACGGGGCCUCGGGUUAAGAUACCUACCAUGUUGGCGGGUAUAGUAAAAGAGGAAACAGGAAGCAAAAGAGAGGCCUAUAAAGAGCGGGCCAGAAAGGCGCUUCCGCUUAACCUGGGACGCGCAGAGCCCAGCCGGGAACUCCACAGCGACUCCUGGCGGGGCGGGGCGGAAGUGCACGCGACCCGUCUUCUCCGCCCCCUGCGGACCAGGCUUCCGCUCCCCGUCUCGCCGCGCCCCGGGAUGUCCUGGGCCGGCUGCUUCUGCUCCUCGUUCUAGGACUAGAUCGCUUUGCGUGCCCUAGACCAGAAGGGGUGCGUGUCUUCUGCACGCGUGGGCGAGACGGAGGGAGGCUUUAGCGUCCUGGGGACCGCGAUUCGGGAGUGUGUAAAGGCUGUUCCCGCCACACCCAUCCCGGAACCAGGCCCUUCUGAAGCCGCCAGAGCAGACUUCCCCUGGCAUUCCCUGCCCCCUCCUCCGGCUCUGCUCGCCCAACUCUGCAGCCAGUCCCAGGCCACCUGACCUAAGAAAAGGCUGAGCUGGCCAGGUGGCAUGAGGAGGAGCAGGCUUUCUGCCGCAGCAGGAACAGCGGAGUGCUCACCGCCUGUGGGAGCCCCACCGCCUUGGGCACCAGCCACCCCCACCCAGAGAGGACGCCGGGCCAACACACCUCCUUACAGCGCAUCCUUCGGCUGGACAUCUUGAAGUAAUAUUCACUCAGGCCAUCUGGGCUCAGUGGGUCAUGAGAGCAAGCCUGAAGCAAGGCCCGGACAGACUUCUCCAGUUCGAAGACCAGAUACACAUACCCUAGUUCCAAUAAAAGGAGAACCUGUAUUAACAUCC